UGUGGGUUAGUGAAUUUAAUGAGCUGGGUUAAUAUUGGUUUGGAUUAAAAUAGGUUUAUGGUUUAUCCAGUCCAAACCAUUUUUUUUAAGUAAUCGUAUUAUCCUCUUGUCUAUUUCACGAGACCUAAUUUUUUCCCCAAUCUCAGAUCACUUCAUCUCCUACAGAAGCUCUCGAUCUCCCUCCUCGGCAUCGACCCUCACCGGCGAACUUCUCGAUCUCCCCUCCUCGGCAUCGACCCUCACCGGCGAACUUCUCGAUCUCCCUCCUCGGCAGCAAAUCUCCGACGAACCGAAGCUCUCCCCUCACCACCACUAUCUCAACUCAUCAUCCGAAGCUCUCCUCUCACCACCACCAUCUCAUCACCAUCAGGUACUUGUAAGGAAGAGGUGAACAUGAGAGUACGAAGACAUGCCUCAGCCUCUUGAUUCUCAAAUUACUGUAGUUAAUCUUACAAUACUUAUCUCUUGAAUUACUGUUUUAAUGCUUAGACAAUUUGGUACUUCAUGUUUAGACACUUCAUGUUUCAAUGCCUUUAGUUUUUUAUUGUAUGAAACUGCUGAGAAUAUGAAAAAAAAAUUGUGAAACAUGCUUUUUAUA